AGAGUUUGAUCCUGGCUCAGGAUGAACGCUAGCGCAGGCCUAAUACAUGCAAGUCGAGGGGUAACAGGAAUAGCAAUAUUUGCUGACGACCGGCGCACGGGUGCGUAACACGUAUGUAAUCUGCCCAUCACUGGAGGAUAGCCCGGAGAAAUCCGGAUUAAUACUCCAUAACAGAAGACAAGGCAUCUUGUUUUUUUGAAAGCUCCGGCGGUGAUGGAUGAACAUGCGACUGAUUAGUUUGUUGGUGAGGUAACGGCUCACCAAGACUACGAUCGGUAGGGGUACUGAGAGGUUAAACCCCCACACUGGUACUGAGACACGGACCAGACUCCUACGGGAGGCAGCAGUAAGGAAUAUUGGACAAUGGCCGCAAGGCUGAUCCAGCCAUGCCGCGUGCAGGAAGACGGACCUAUGGUUUGUAAACUGCUUUUGAAUGGGAGAAAACCCCCCUACGUGUAGGGGGCUGAUAGUACCAUUAGAAUAAGCAUCGGCUAACUUCGUGCCAGCAGCCGCGGUAAGACGAAGGAUGCAAGCGUUAUCCGGAUUCAUUGGGUUUAAAGGGAGCGUAGGCGGACUUGUAAGACAGUGGUGAAAUCUGUGGGCUUAACCCACAAACUGCCAUUGAUACUGCAGGUCUAGAGUACAGUUGCCGUUGGCGGAAUAUGACAUGUAGUGGUGAAAUACUUAGAUAUGUCAUAGAACACCGAUUGCGAAGGCAGCUAACGAAGCUGUAACUGACGCUGAGGCUCGAAAGUGCGGGGAUCAAACAGGAUUAGAUACCCUGGUAGUCCGCGCUGUAAACGAUGAUUACUCGCUGCUGGGGAGCAAUUUCCAGUGACCAAGCGAAAGCGAUAAGUAAUCCACCUGGGGAGUACGCCGGCAACGGUGAAACUCAAAGGAAUUGACGGGGGCCCGCACAAGCGGAGGAGCAUGUGGUUUAAUUCGAUGAUACGCGAGGAACCUUACCAGGGCUUGAAAGUUAGGGAAUGAUCCUGAAAGGGAUCAGUCAGCAAUGACCCGAAACUAGGUGCUGCAUGGCUGUCGUCAGCUCGUGCCG
rnacentral:rRNA from 1 species